rnacentral:rRNA from 1 species
GACAGCAGUAGCCGCGGGAAUACGUAGGGUGCAAGCGUUAAUCGGAAUUACUGGGCGUAAAGCGUGCGCAGGCGGUUAUAUAAGACAGAUGUGAAAUCCCCGGGCUCAACCUGGGAACUGCAUUUGUGACUGUAUAGCUAGAGUACGGCAGAGGGGGAUGGAAUUCCGCGUGUAGCAGUGAAAUGCGUAGAUAUGCGGAGGAACACCGAUGGCGAAGGCAAUCCCCUGGGCCUGUACUGACGCUUAUGCACGAAAGCGUGGGGAGCAAACAGGAUUAGAUACCCCCGUAGUCCCUGUCUCUUAUAA